rnacentral:rRNA from 1 species
AUUGAACGCUGGCGGCAGGCUUAACACAUGCAAGUCGAGCGGAGAUGAGGUGCUUGCACCUUAUCUUAGCGGCGGACGGGUGAGUAAUGCUUAGGAAUCUGCCUAUUAGUGGGGGACAACAUUCCGAAAGGAAUGCUAAUACCGCAUACGUCCUACGGGAGAAAGCAGGGGAGCUUCGGACCUUGCGCUAAUCGAUGAGGCUUGGUCGGAUUAGCUAGUUGGUGGGGUAAAGGCCUACCAAGGCGACGAUCUGUAGCGGGUCUGAGAGGAUGAUCCGCCACACUGGGACUGAGACACGGCCCAGACUCCUACGGGAGGCAGCAGUGGGGAAUAUUGGACAAUGGGGGAAACCCUGAUCCAGCCAUGCCGCGUGUGUGAAGAAGGCCUUAUGGUUGUAAAGCACUUUAAGCGAGGAGGAGGCUACUGAGACUAAUACUCUUGGAUAGUGGACGUUACUCGCAGAAUAAGCACCGGCUAACUCUGUGCCAGCCGCCGCCGUAA